UGAUGACCAUAGCGAGUCGGUCCCACCCCUUCCCAUCCCGAACAGGACCGUGAAACGACUCCACGCCGAUGACAGUGCGGAUUGCCCGUGUGAAAGUAGGUAAUCGUCAGGCU
rnacentral:rRNA from 1 species